UACGUAGGGGGCAAGCGUUGUCCGGAUUUAUUGGGCGUAAAGAGCGUGUAGGCGGCCUGACAGGUCUGCUGUGAAAACUCGAGGCUCAACCUCGAGAUGGCGGCGGAAACCGUCUGGCUAGAGUCCGGAAGAGGAGAGUGGAAUUCCUGGUGUAGCGGUGAAAUGCGCAGAUAUCAGGAAGAACACCUAUGGCGAAGGCAGCUCUCUGGGACGGUACUGACGCUGAGACGCGAAAGCGUGGGGAGCGAACAGG
rnacentral:rRNA from 1 species